CACAAGCGGUGGAUGAUGUGGAUUAAUUCGAUGCAACGCGAAGAACCUUACUACCCUUGACAUGUCCGGAACUUGCCAGAGAUGGCUUGGUGCCCGAAAGGGAAUCGGAACACAGGUGCUGCAUGGCUGUCGUCAGCUCGUGUCGUGAGAUGUUGGGUUAAGUCCCGCAACGAGCGCAACCCUUAUCAUUAGUUGCUACGCAAGGGCACUCUAAUGAGACUGCCGGUGACAAACCGGAGGAAGGUGGGGAUGACGUCAAGUCCUCAUGGCCCUUAUGGGUAGGGCUUCACACGUCAUACAAUGGUCGGUACAGAGGGUUGCCAAGCCGCGAGGCGGAGCCGAUCCCACAAAGCCGAUCGUAGUCCGGAUUGUUCUCUGCAACUCGAGAGCAUGAAGUCGGAAUCGCUAGUAAUCGCAGGUCAGCAUACUGCGGUGAAUACGUUCCCGGGUCUU
rnacentral:rRNA from 1 species